AAAAACAAGAGUUUGAUCCUAGCUCAGAACGAACACUAGUUAUAUGCUUAACAAAUGAAAAUCGAACGUGGCUUGCUUCGCCAUCCAUACAUGUGGGGGCAGAAGGGCAAGAGGAAUGACCCCCUCAUAGCGCAUUCUCACUCACUCAAAUGAUAUGCAAGUGGUGUGUCGGGCAUGGGGCAUAGCAAGAAAAGUGGCGAACGGGUGCAUAGCGCAUGGGAAUCUGUUGAACAGUUCACUCCAAAUCCUGAAUAAUUCAUAAAGAAAGCUAAUUUGCAUUGUUUGAUGAGCCCGCGUAGUAUCAGGUAGUUUGUUAGGUAAAGGAUGACCAAUCCAAUGAUGCUUAGUUUGUCUUUUCAGAUGAUCAGCCACACUGGGACUGAGACAUGACCCAGACUCCCUUAGGAGGAAGUAAUGGGGAAUAUUGGACAAUGGGCUCAUGCCCGAUCCAACAAUAUCACAUUGGUGAAAAAGGGCAUUGUUGCUUGUCAAGAUAUUUCGUCGAGUUUUGAUCAUGAUAGGACUCAAGGAAGAAGCCUCAGCUAACUCCAUGCUAGCAGUCACGAUAAGAUAGUGGGGUAAGUGUUAUUCGAAGUGACUGGACAUAAAGUGCACGUAGGAGGUGAAAAGGGUGGAAAGUGAAAGCCACCAAAGCACUCACGGGGUGCUUUCUUUACCAUUUCACUUGAGUGAGAUAGGGGUGACUAGAAUUUCAUGUGGAGGGAUAAAAUCCUAAGAUAUAUGAAGGAACAACAACUGCGAAGGCAUCUCUUUGGGUCCCCAUUGACGCUGGGGUGCAAAAUCAUAGGGAUCAAACAUGAUCAGAUAACCUGGUAGUCUAUGUCAUAAGCGAUGAGUGUUCAUCCUUGGUCCGCCUACCUACUAGGUAGGAUUAGGAUCAGGGGCCCAUCUAACGCAUGAAACACUUCGCCUAGGGAGUACGGUCGCAAGACUGAAACUAAAAAGAAUUCACGGGGGCCUGCACAAGCGAUGGAGCAUGUGGUUUAAUUUGAUACAACGUGCAGAACCUUACCAGCCCUUGACAAAUGAACAAGUGUGCCUAUCCCUAAUGGGAUGGUGUGAAAAUUCAUACAUGUGUUGCAUGGCUAUCAUCAUCUUGUGUCGUGAGAUGUUUGGUUAAGUCCUAUAAUGAGAAAAACCCUCAUUUUUUGUUUCUGAGACAUGCGCCAAUGGAUCAAUGUCAUUGCCCCUUCCCAAUGAAUCAAUAGGGUGAGGCAAGCACCUCUUUUUAAUUGAUGACACUUCUAUGAAAGAAGGUGUGUUAAGUACCUAAAUCAGAUCUGCAAAUAUACUUCAAUAAUACCAAAAAUAAACCAUAAACCAUUCACCAUAACAUUAACGCAAGAAAUAGAGAAAACCCUUGAGGUAGGGUAACACCAUAUAUUAAUCCUUAUGGAAGGAUAAAACUCCUCAAGCAAUCCUUUCUUGUACAAUCACAAUAUUCUUCACUAUGUUUCAUUACAUUGCCUACACUUCUUUAUAUAGCUCUCCCUAUCUCCUAGGAACCUUCUAGAGAGCCUUCUCACAUUUAUUACAUCCAACUACCAUAGUGGGAUUUUAUUAAUAUAGUGGACUUAGUCCACCUUACAUUGAAUGACCACAUUCUCAUAUAUUAAUUGACUUCCACUAAUAACACAUAACUACAUUCCCAUUGGGUACCUCCCUAGGUACCCCAUAUUACCU
rfam:Picea glauca, whole genome shotgun sequence.